CCCCCGGAGGACUGGAACGGGGACGCGCUCCUGCUCGGGUUUCGGACUGGAGGGGAGGUGACCCGAGCGACAGGGUUGGGGAACACAAGAGGAAAAGCGAGGGGGCGCGAGCGAUCAGCUGGGUGCCUUCUGGAUAACGUCUGGAUAUCCCACCUGUGACAGUAGUGAUGGAGAUGCAGGAAGUCAUCUGUCUGAACAGUGAUCCAGAGAGAGAAGAACAGGCCUGGUGGGCACUGGUGAGCUGUGGUGGAGCUGAGAGGAUGCUGGGAAAAUGCUCGUGGAUGUCUGCCCUGGCACACAAAGUCGGCUGCGGCUGGGAACCGGCACGGAGCUUUAAGAUUCGAGGCACACAUUUGUAUUUAUUUUAGGUUGAUGAGAAGUUGAAUGAUGAAGGUUUAAUCCUAGACUCACAGAAUCAUCGUGGGUGCGGGUGCCUUGUGCCCAGGAGGGAUUUGGAGUGGGUACCGCAGACGCGCGGGGUGGGGGGGAAAGUCACACUACCCUCCCACAUCCAACCAGCUCUCCUCACCCCCACCUUUCUCGUCUGCAGUAAGGAUGGAACAGAGCCUCCUCCCCGCAUGCUGUGGGGGAGGACUCUGAGAUGCUGUGUGUCACAGAGCCCGACCCUGUUGUUCUUAUUUUUGAGUCAGGGUCUCUCGUAGCCCAGGUUAUCCUUAAAUCAACUUGUAGCCGAGGAUGACCUUGAACUUGUAAUCCUCCUGCCUCCCGAGUGUUGGGGUGACACUCUUGGUUUGGAAGGCACUGGGAUUGAACCCAGGCCUUGCACAUGCUCAGCAAGCACUCUGCCAACUUAAACCACGCUCCCAGCUCCAUCCACUGCUCAAUUCUUAAGUUCAGAGCGAGGAGGCCCAAGAGAUGAUAGGUGAUAGGUGAGAAAAAGUGCGGCUCAAGGCCGGAUGCGGAGAAGGCUCAGCACUUCGCGCUGUUCACAGGAGGAGGGGCGGACGGAAGAGCUGGAAGCCUUGAGCCGGGCUGUCUGCAGAAGCCCUCUUCCCCUGAACCAAUCUGUAAUGAAUGGCUUGUGGCCAUGUCUCCUUGGGACAGACCUGCUAAACCUGUAUGGGAAGCUGCAGUGGGCCGGGCCCGCGACAGGCUGCAGCCUCUCUCGGCCCUUUUGUCCCCCAGCUCCUGUGGGAGGGGGUUGGUGGUGCAUCCCACCGUGGCCCAGCCCUUCCCUGCGGCCAGCCACCCUUGGCUGUCUAGGCUGUCAUUUGUGGCUACUGACGGUUGUUCCGGGUGUGGUGUCCUGCCAAAGGGGUGUCGGGGGAGUCUCUGAGACAAGGGGUGCAGCCAGCUCCAGGCUGAGCAGGAGGAUGGAUCCUGCAGCCAGGCAGCCUCCCCUCCCUGCCUGAGGCCCCUGAGGCGAUGCCACGGAAGCCAGCCCGGAGUUCCGGGAGCCAGGCGUCUCUACCCUGGCUGCUGACUUUGGCAAAAAGGGAACCCUCCUCCUGCCUUAGGGAGACGGGACUUGGAGUGGGAGGAGGAGACGGAGGCAAUCUAGUUACUAACGCACCGUGCAAUACAGUAAAUAUUCUGCUGACGGUUCCGAACCUAGAAAACAAUCCCCAGCCCUCCGGUAAUAACAAUAAAGACCAUAAUGCAGGAAUGAGGACCUUCCGGACGCCUCUUUCUUCUUUGGUAAAAUUUUAUGCACAUAGAAAAUGAAGGCAGCUCCCUGUCCCCAAUGGUUCUUCAGGACUCCCCACAACCUACCUUCCCUUCCACACCCGAGCACCAGUCUUGGGCUAGGGCACCUCCCUGUGUUUGCAUGAGGUCACAACAGUCCCGGGGUUGUUACCC